CUGCUCUAACAUUUAUCCGUGGGCCCUUUUAAGAGACAACGAUAACAUCGUCGGCAUGUCCUUCCAAGUUAUAGGGAUCGCGAAUUCAGGUCCCGAGCGUACGUGGUACGAAAAUUUACCGAUGGGUGAAGUUACGUGCGUCAUUCCCGACGGACCUCCAUGCCUUGCUCAAGGAAUCGAGCGGUACGGGACAUUAACGUUUCACUUCUGGUUCAGAAAAGAUCCACUCCUGAUCAGGUGCUGUCCCCAA
rnacentral:misc_RNA from 1 species